UACGUAGGAUGCUAGCGUUGUCCGGAUUUAUUGGGCGUAAAGCGCUCGCAGGUGGUUCGUCGCGUCGGGCGUGAAAGCCCCCGGCUCAACUGGGGAGUGUCGUGCGAUACGGGCGGACUGGAGGCCAGUAGGGGGAUGCGGAAUUCCGGGUGUAGUGGUGGAAUGCGUAGAGAUCCGGAGGAACACCAGCGGCGAAGGCGGCAUCCUGGACUGGUGCUGACACUCAGGAGCGAAAGCUAGGGGAGCAAACGGG
rnacentral:rRNA from 1 species